UACGUAGGGUGCGAGCGUUAAUCGGAAUUACUGGGCGUAAAGCGUGCGCAGGCGGUUUUUUAAGUCAGAUGUGAAAUCCCCGGGCUUAACCUGGGAAUGGCAUUUGGGACUGCAAGGCUUGAGUGCGGCAGAGGAGACUGGAAUUCCUGGUGUAGCAGUGAAAUGCGUAGAUAUCAGGAGGAACACCGAUGGCGAAGGCAGGUCUCUGGGCUGACACUGACGCUCAUGCACGAAAGCGUGGGGAGCAAACAGG
rnacentral:rRNA from 1 species